rnacentral:tRNA from 1 species
CCUUCGAUAGCUCAGCUGGUAGAGCGGAGGACUGUAAGCUCAGACUCCACGUCUGUGGACAUCCUUAGGUCGCUGGUUCGAUUCCGGCUCGAAGGA